rnacentral:rRNA from 1 species
UACGGAGGGUGCGAGCGUUGUUCGGAAUCACUGGGCGUAAAGCGCGUGUAGGCGGCCCUUUAAGUCCGAUGUGAAAGCCCGGGGCUCACCCCCGGAAGUGCAUUGGAUACUGAAGGGCUGGAGUACCGGAGAGGAGGGUGGAAUUCCUGGUGUAGCGGUGAAGUGCGUAGAUAUCAGGAGGAACACCUGUGGCGAAGGCGGCCCUCUGGACGGAUACUGACGCUGAGACGCGAAAGCGUGGGGAGCAAACAGG